AGAAGAAAUUUUAAUUAGAGAUAUUUGUGGAACUAAUUUAAGAGAAGAUUUAGUAACCCACUUCAAAAGGUAGUAGAGGAAUUAAUUAUUGAGGCCACACUAACUCUGAUGGGACCCACAUUUUAGUAAGACCAAACUCACCUAAUAUCAAAUACUUAUUUACACCAUAUAUUGAAAAGUCAGAAAAGCAAACACAUAGCCCUCUCUUCUCUCUCUCACGCCCAAAUCUCACAUUUUCACCAUAACCACAUAUUCCAAACCUUCUUUAUCAACUACCUCUCAGAAACCAGAUGCAUGCAAGAUCGAAAACCUCAAACCCGUUGUCAGUAGAUCACUAUAAAUAUGAGUUUAAGCUUUGAAUCUUCUCCUCAUUCUUCCAUGGCCGAAAAUGCACCUUCCAUGGCCAAAUCUUGUUUUCUCAAAUCGAAGCUCUGGGGUACGAAAUUCUGAUAGUUUGGGACCUGUAAAUGUUGAAGAAUCAAAGAUUAAGUCUUGGGUGCUUAGAAAUUGAGAUAUAGUUAGUGAUUCACACUCUUCCUUUCAUUAUUGAGAUUUAAUCCCAAAACUCAAUCCUUAUUUCUUCCUUAUGAUGCUGCAUGUGUGUUUAUGCUCUUAUGGAGGACUUGAAAUGUUGUAAGAAACAUGAAUCAGAGGCUGGAGUUGUAGCCAUAAGAAACGAGCUGGUUUCUCGCCAGCAAGAAUAAGCAGAUUUCUCUGCCUGUAUGUGUUGUUAUCCCUUUCCUGUCCAGCUAUUCUUGGUCAUUGGGUAAGGAAACUCAAACUCUUUUCCUUUCCUUCAGAAUCAGUACAUUCUUGAUGUUAGAAAUUAUCAUUAAUUCCAUUUUUUGGUAAUUCCAUGUGGUUUAUAUGGGGUAAGAGACUUGAUUAAAUGGUUGGAGCUUGGCUUUGAAGAAAAAGUGGAAGUUGUGAAGCUGACGAAAUUCCCGUCGUCUAGAUGCCAAUUUCGUAGAAUUUGGAUGAAUAUUGAGGUCUAGAGACCAGUUUGAAGUUGAAGGUCUGAUAUGGAGAUUAUGCAGAAAAAUUAGGAUGCGGGUUUAAAGUACUUUGGCUGAAAAUUCUGCAUUAAGGCGAGCUCCGUAGAUAUCGGUGGUACUGUUCAAGUGUCUAUCUCAGAUAACCAGGUUAAUCGCGAUGUCGUGGUCAGCAAGCAUGAAGACCCAGAUACGUGGAGUACGAUUUGGAGCCGAUGUUAUGUUUAUCUUAUAUCUUGUAUAAGAUUCAGAUUAUUUAUGUUUAGUUGUUGGCUCAAAUUUGUAUUCACUUCUUGGAUUUUGUAAUCCUAUUCAUGUGUUUGAUCUUUAUGUAAUGAGAAUUUAAUGUUUUCCGAUUCAAUUAUGUACACAGUUGUCGAUAUUCUAGAUAAAUUGACAUGGGGUGUUAUAAUUGGUAUCAGAGCAGGUCGAUUCAGUAUCGGACCUUGCCGUGGAUCAUUAAAAUUCAAUCCUAAGUAGUACGGAUCCUUUUGAGUCUGAACUGUUCACGCUGAAAUCAUCGCGUGCUGAGCCUGAUCAACUCAGUAUUGUGUAUGGUAGGCAGGGUAUUACGGUUGAGAACCAAAGUGGACCAAGGAGGUCGAGUAGUAAGAACCCAGUAGGAGCGCGAACUCGGAAGGAAGUAUGAACAAAUAUCGGUAGAAUUCAAUAUUUGAACUGCAACAGUCGACGCCACAAGAGUAAGUUGGGUAACGCAAACAAGUGGCACGUAGAAUUGGGAAUAAUACGUGGCGUAGUGUCAGUAGUGAGAGGCAUAUCAGGAAAUGCACGAAUCGGAUGUACUCAAUUGACGGUGAUGUGCGUAAGAAUUCAGAGGACACUAGGGAACAGGAAAACCCCGGUAUCAGCAUGACCGUUGACUGGAGUAGGAUGCAUGGACAAUUGUAGUAAGUCUAAUGAAAUUAUGAGAACGGAACGCAGUGUAGAUUGAAGUGUUGUACGCCAGUAAUAACCAACCGACACAGACGCGCUGUGUGAACCUAGAAGUAAUCACCCAAUUUUGUGAACCUAAUUACCAGAAGCACGUUAAUUCAAAUAAGACUUAACUGAAGUCAGUGAACCAAAACUUUUCCCCAAAUCUGUUUGACCUUCAUUUCAGCCUAGUAGUUGUCCCUAGCGACGUAAGUCAAUUAGCUACACUAUCAGCGAAAGACAAACUAGACUUCACACAUUUCUUUAAAUCCUAAUGUCAACCUAUUGUACCAUUCUUGUAGGAUGAAAACACCAAACGUUCCCAGCAAGAUGAAUUCAGCCACUCAGUUGGUAACUAGUGUAUUCAAGCCAAACCAGUAGCAGUUAAGUCUCGUUUAGAAUAACAAUUAGAGUUUAAUUUUGAUGCAAUCAAUCACCUAAGCAGACAUAUUAAAUGUCAUUUCCAUUUGCUUCAGGAACAAGUAACGCAAUUCGGUACUACCUUCAGUAAGUUGCCAAAUAAUUUCCCGUAUUCGAACCUAUCAGCCAAUAACCCAAAGGACUAAGUUAAACCGUUUUCGGAGUGUUGUCAGUUAAAUUCAGCUAAAUUCAUCGAAUCAAUGUGAUGCUUGAUUCAUAACCAGUAAGCCUUAUUAUGUUAUGAACAUUAAAGUUUCCGAGCCUAUCUAAUGUUGAAAACUUUCUAAAUUCCUUAAUAUCAGCGAAUUGGAUUCACAAUUAGAGUGUUACCUUAUGUAACUCUGAAGAAAUGUCUUCAACUUUGUAACUUCAUUAUCAGUAAUCAGUUCGGGCCUAGGUAAGUUUGAAUUUCUUCUUAAGAGUAAUAAGUUGUGAUCCUUUAAGAACUAUCAGUUAUUCAUGUCGAUCUUCAAAACAGUAACAUUAUGUUUCCCAUCAAGAGAUUCUCCGAUCUUUCGUUUCAUUACUGAUGACCAGUUCAAAACCAAAGAAGUCUAAGUUAACCAUUAAGGGUCAUGAGUAAUUUCAGCUUAAGUUCUCACGUGUCUUGUUAACCUGUUAAACAACAUCGUAAGGUACCUCGAACGUUGGAAACGUUAAUGCAAUCAAACUCAAAAAUGAGGAGAGUAUCAGUAGGAAAUAACUGUAAGAGAUAAGAAGUAAGGAGUUACAUAUAUGUUAGAUGGUAGUAAAGUAGUAUAUAUAGUGGUGCGUCUAACGUCACGAAAUGAUGUGAGAUUUAUUUUGUGAUGCCAUAUGGUAGAAGAAGUAAUAAAAAUAUGAGAAAACGUCGGGUAAGAUGAAACGAAAUGUGACAGUGUUUGGGAAGUUGUAAACUAAGGUCGUAAUGACGUAGUCAGAAGAUGACAAUAUGUAAUAGAGAUCAGAGUGCGCAGCAAGUAUUGGUUGAUAAUGUAGUCAGCAGGUUGGUCUUUAGGCCAAAACCCUUUGAGAAGAGGAAAGUUUUAUUCUAAGAAAAUUGACGUGAAUGACGUAAAACGAUUGACGAAUGUGAGACGAGUAAAUUAUGCAUACCUUCACACUUAAAACUUGUAUUGUUGGUAAUGGAGUACCCGUGAGAACAAAGAUUGUGAAAGGAAAGCGGUUCAACUAAGAAGGUUUGACGUAGUGAACCAGUAAGAUUAGAUAUGCUCGGUGUUGAAUUGAAGGGUGCAGAAAAUGGGAAUAUUGCACCAUGAGCGGUUGUAUCGAUGAAAAUAACAAAAAAAAAAAAGAGAGCUAAUAUAAGAUUAGCGUGCACCUAAAAGUUGUAUUAUGGGCCGAGAUUAUGAGUUCGAUGUUAUGAAAUGAACGAGUUAAGAUUUCCAUAAAUAAAAUAACCAAGUGCUAAUGCUACGAAGAGUGAUGAUUAAUGACCUUGAACAAUAGAUCAUGACUGUUUGGAAACGAAGUCUAGAAUUUGGACGAGGAUGUAUACAAUUUACUUUGGUAAUGAAUGAAGAAGUAAUUGAAUUUCGCGGACGAAAUUCUUUUAAGGGGGAUAGAUUGUAACAUCCCGAUUUUAAUUAGUAGAAGAAAUUUUAAUUAGAGAUAUUUGUGGAACUAAUUUAAGAGAAGAUUUAGUAACCCACUUCAAAAGGUAGUAGAGGAAUUAAUUAUUGAGGCCACACUAACUCUGAUGGGACCCACAUUUUAGUAAGACCAAACUCACCUAAUAUCAAAUACUUAUUUACACCAUAUAUUGAAAAGUCAGAAAAGCAAACACAUAGCCCUCUCUUCUCUCUCUCACGCCCAAAUCUCACAUUUUCACCAUAACCACAUAUUCCAAACCUUCUUUAUCAACUACCUCUCAGAAACCAGAUGCAUGCAAGAUCGAAAACCUCAAACCCGUUGUCAGUAGAUCACUAUAAAUAUGAGUUUAAGCUUUGAAUCUUCUCCUCAUUCUUCCAUGGCCGAAAAUGCACCUUCCAUGGCCAAAUCUUGUUUUCUCAAAUCGAAGCUCUGGGGUACGAAAUUCUGAUAGUUUGGGACCUGUAAAUGUUGAAGAAUCAAAGAUUAAGUCUUGGGUGCUUAGAAAUUGAGAUAUAGUUAGUGAUUCACACUCUUCCUUUCAUUAUUGAGAUUUAAUCCCAAAACUCAAUCCUUAUUUCUUCCUUAUGAUGCUGCAUGUGUGUUUAUGCUCUUAUGGAGGACUUGAAAUGUUGUAAGAAACAUGAAUCAGAGGCUGGAGUUGUAGCCAUAAGAAACGAGCUGGUUUCUCGCCAGCAAGAAUAAGCAGAUUUCUCUGCCUGUAUGUGUUGUUAUCCCUUUCCUGUCCAGCUAUUCUUGGUCAUUGGGUAAGGAAACUCAAACUCUUUUCCUUUCCUUCAGAAUCAGUACAUUCUUGAUGUUAGAAAUUAUCAUUAAUUCCAUUUUUUGGUAAUUCCAUGUGGUUUAUAUGGGGUAAGAGACUUGAUUAAAUGGUUGGAGCUUGGCUUUGAAGAAAAAGUGGAAGUUGUGAAGUUUCAAAUGGUGUUUACAUGUAUGGAAAGCUGACGAAAUUCCCGUCGUCUAGAUGCCAAUUUCGUAGAAUUUGGAUGAAUAUUGAGGUCUAGAGACCAGUUUGAAGUUGAAGGUCUGAUAUGGAGAUUAUGCAGAAAAAUUAGGAUGCGGGUUUAAAGUACUUUGGCUGAAAAUUCUGCAUUAAGGCGAGCUCCGUAGAUAUCGGUGGUACUGUUCAAGUGUCUAUCUCAGAUAACCAGGUUAAUCGCGAUGUCGUGGUCAGCAAGCAUGAAGACCCAGAUACGUGGAGUACGAUUUGGAGCCGAUGUUAUGUUUAUCUUAUAUCUUGUAUAAGAUUCAGAUUAUUUAUGUUUAGUUGUUGGCUCAAAUUUGUAUUCACUUCUUGGAUUUUGUAAUCCUAUUCAUGUGUUUGAUCUUUAUGUAAUGAGAAUUUAAUGUUUUCCGAUUCAA